AACGCGCUUUAAUGCAUGUCUCCCAAAAGUGGGAACCGGUUUUGGGAUAAAGACAUGCAUGAAAACAAACGCUUAAAGCGUGUCGUACGAGUACGAUAGAAUGCGACACGCUUUAAGGUCAUUGGCCUGACGCGAUAACUGCCGGGGUUUUCACCC
rnacentral:ncRNA from 1 species